CCUCGGGAUAAUUCAAUCGGGUUGCAACGCAAGGAACUUCCUCCUCUCGUUCCGGUGUGACAAAGUUCCGGAACACGCUUGUCCCGCCUGAAGUUCCCGGCUUGGACCCUCGGGUGUAAACAGAGAAACGUUUUGAUCGCCAGGUGUUCUCCCGCGAAGGUGAAGUCGGUUCUGGGUCUCACCCCUGCCCCAACGGCGGCCUCUGAAGUCGGCCUCUGUGUCCGGUCCGGCCGGCCCCCUUCCGCAGAAGGACGGCUCCCUGAGUUAGGAACCGCAUUCCCAGUCUCUAGCUUGAGACCAGUGAGGUCUCCUCCUGCACUUGGAACUCGCUGUCCUGGCUACCGGUUCUCCAUCUCCUCCUGGGAUCCGCAACAGGACUGUGGUACCCAGAAAGCUGAUGUGAACCAACACCCCCAGGAAGAAGCUUUGCCUUGUAAGGCUGACUGACUGAUUCUAGCUUCAGCGAUUGUGGAGGGGUUGGGAUGCUGCAGACCCAGAGCCUAAUUAUGGUUUAUCUAGGACUGUCUUUACCUCCUUCAAAUAGUUAUUUAUUGUCCACCUCCAAAAACAUUAAAAUAUCAUUAUUAAAACAUUAUUUUACAUGCUAAAUUAAUAACAACAGUAAUAGUCACUGUCAACUGCUGGCAAAAUUUUAUUUACUUAUUUACUAACUGCUUUUCUCUUUCUCUUUCUUUCUUGAGACAUGCAGCCCUGGCUGGUUUCAAACUCCUUGUGUAACCCAGAAUGACCUCAAACUCUAUUCUGUUGAAGGGACCAGCUCCCCAUUUCGGCAGCCAUGACUGUAACACAUGCUUGCCUUAACCUUGUCUUGGUCACUAGGAGGUCAGAUGCCUGCCUUGUGGCAAGGAACCAAUCAGAAGUUAGCUGGUGGUGCUAUGCUUUACAGCUCUGGGUGUGCUUUACCGACAAGUGCACGACAAUGACUCGAAGAGCAUAGCAAUUGCCCUGGGAGGGCCUAUGGGCCAUAACAACCAGUUGACCAAUCAACACAGGGCAAAACCUCCAAGCCUGGAGGCACACCAAUCCUGAGCCUGUGCGUACCCCUAGACACUCCCCUUACACUGCCCUAUAAAAUCUCUAUGCACCCACUUUGAGCUGUCUUUCCUAGCUAACUGCCAUGAUGGGUGGAUGAAAGACCGGAGCUAACAUCGGGUUAGCUCAUUAAACAACUUCAAUAAAGCCUGGUGCAGUUUGCA
rnacentral:lncRNA from 1 species